GCGGUCUCGCGCCUUCCCAGGUCCGCUCCGCGAGGGCGAGCGCGCGCCAGUCCCACUCGUGCGCCGCUCUUCAUGUCCCCGCGGUCGAAGACGGUCACAUACGCCCCCAAGAAAACGUCGCCGAGGAUCCACACAGGUACUGGAGGCGAAGCGAUGUCCAAGGCCCGGAAGCCGGACAAGCAGAGGCGGACGUCACCCUGAGCAAACUGCAAGGCGACAAGGCGGCAACUGGGUAUCCAGGCCGCAGGAACCACCAUUUCCCUGGGAGUCCGUGCUCUCUCCGCCCCCAACCCCGGGGACAAGAAAUGUUUCUGUGGCCCCUUCCGGCCCUAGUGAUGUCCAACUACCAGCUCCGCCCUCUCAACUCCAGUCAUAUUACAUCACUGUGGCGUCAUUAUGACGGACACCUACCUGGAUGACGUAAUCCUGGGCCGUGAGAGUAAACCAGACCCCCCCAAUGAGGAGUGAGACUGCGGGGAGCUUUGGGAUUUCUGAGCACCGGAUGAUGUACUGGGGGAGGAGAGGAACAAGUGAAGAUGGGAGAUUCCUGCUCUGCUCAAAUCCCGUCCGUGGCUCCCCAGUGCCAUGGAGUAAUGUUCAUAUUGAGCACCUGGGUAUUCAGCACCGUGUGUGGACAGCCCUGUUGCCUAGGCUCCUCUCAUCUAGUCCCAAACAAAACUGCAUUAUCAUCUCCCCCAACAACCCCCCCCCACUCCCACCCCUACUUCACCAUCCACUGAGCCACUUAGCAUAGACACUUGGGAAGUAUCUUUGCUUCCUCCCACCACUCUCCGGCAUGUCACUUAAGAAGCCCAGUCCCCUCUGUCCUGGAUACGCUCUAGCUACCUGCUUCCCAUCCUCAGGCCGCAGUGUUCGCCAUCGAAUUGCCACCAUCUUCCCCAGGACACACCCACCAGAGACUGGGACCUCACCUCCCCAGCCAGCAAGGGGAUUCCCCCAAUGGCUGCAUGCAGGGCCCGGAUCUCCUCAGUGGGUCCUACGAUGACAGGUGUGCCUGUAUCCAGGAUGGCAGCACAGCCCUGGGCACAGAGAGUCAGCCGUGAGCCCACCUUCACACUGAGGGGGAAGGAGGCAGUCAUUAGAGGCAGGGUCCUAGGAGUCCAGGCCUCCACCUCCAGACCCAGGAGACCAAGUCCCUCACCGCUCCAUGUGGAUCUGCCAGUAGGCGGGGACUGUGACUGGCACGAAGAAGCCCUCGGAUGGUGGCCCUUGCAUGCUUCAGUUCAUGAUGUUGGAGACUAUUUCCCCACCCUUGCGGAAAAACCUUCUCUCUGUGCCAUACAGCUACUGCCAGGGAUGGAGGAUGGCUGGAAUUGGCAACUAAAGACUGCCCUCCUACCUUCUUCAGUGUGUCCUCAGCAAUAUGGAGUUA
rnacentral:lncRNA from 1 species